AUUUGUAAAUUAAUUUAUAAAAUGAAGGUAAAUUGUUUAUUGUUUACAAGUUGAGAUGUCAAAUUGUUACUUAAGCCAAUCUGCAAUCAACUGUCCAGCACCCAAAUUAAGCAAACGACAACAUGAAAUGACCGUCGCGUAAAUAGAGCAUCUUGCAAAACAGUGCUGAUCGGAAAAUUGAAAGCUGACACCUGCCAGAUUCAAUUCCGUCGCAUACCGAUGUUAUGUUUUCAGUAAGCUGGUUUGGAUUCUCGACGUGCAGAGGAGGCUUAUCAUAAAAAAUUGGAGGUGCGCUCUUAUCGCAGCACGGAAGGUCAUUCUUAUUGCAGGUAAGUUGAAUGAUGUUUAACACAUUGCCUCCUCAUGCAUCCGUUAAUUGUGUGCUGUUUUAUGCCAGUUUUUUUGUAGUUUCUGUGUCGAAUUUUUUUUGAACUAGUCAUAAUAAAUGACCCUUUGCCACAUUAUUUACUAAUAAAUUGGCAAGUUACUUGUUUA